UACGGGGGGAGCGUUUAGCGUUAUUCGUCUUGAUUGGGCGUAAAGGAUACGUAGGAGGUUACUUUUUUUUGAGGAUUUGGUUAAAUAAAAGCUAAAAGCUUUACUUUUAUUAUAUUUCAUUUUUCCUGAUUAACUUUGGAGUUAAGUGUAAGAAAGAUAAGUACCCUCAGUUGGAGUGGUGGGAAUUCCGGAAUAUUGCAGGGGGACUCUCGGUAGGCGAAGGCGGCUUUCUUUGAUUUUAACUUGACUUUA
rnacentral:rRNA from 1 species